CUAUGCACUUGAUAGAAUUGAGCCUCGGUAUGGAAACCUACCAAGUGAUAGCUUCCAAAUCCAAGGAACCCUGGGAUAUUUUGAAUGGGUAAUCUAGAGCCAAAUUUGGUUCAUGGAGACAAUAGUUUUGUCUCCUAAGAUAGGGAGGGGAUAGGUGUAGAGACUCAAUAAAAAUCCUGCAGGGUAACCAAUGGUAUAAUUUAGUUUUAAUCAUUUUUUAAAUGAAUUAUAAAAUAUUACAAAUAGGCAAUUAAUAUUUCCCUCCAAUAGG
rfam:Picea glauca, whole genome shotgun sequence.